rnacentral:rRNA from 1 species
AGUGAACGCUGGCGGUAGGCCUAACACAUGCAAGUCGAACGGCAGCAUAGUAAGAGCUUGCUCUUACGGGUGGCGAGUGGCGGGCGGGUGAGGAAUACAUCGGCAUCUACUUUUUCGUGGGGGAUAACGUAGGGAAACUUACGCUAAUACCGCAUACGACCUACGGGUGAAUGCAGGGGAUCUUCGGACCUUGCGCGACUGAAUGAGCCGAUGUCGGAUUAGCUAGUUGGCGGGGUAAAGGCCCACCAAGGCAACGAUCCGUAGCUGGUCUGAGAGGAUGAUCAGCCACACUGGAACUGAGACACGGUCCAGACUCCUACGGGAGGCAGCAGUGGGGAAUAUUGGACAAAGGGCGCAAGCCUGAUCCAGCCAUACCGCGUGGGUGAAGAAGGCCUUCGGGUUGUAAAGCCCUUUUGUUGGGAAAGAAAAGCAGCAGGUUAAUACCCCGCUGUUCUGACGGUACCCAAAGAAUAAGCACCGGCUAACUUCGUG